rnacentral:rRNA from 1 species
UACGCAGGGUGCAAGCGUUACUCGGAAUUACUGGGCGUAAAGCGUGCGUAGGUGGUUCGUUAAGUCUGAUGUGAAAGCCCUGGGCUCAACCUGGGAAUGGCAUUGGAAACUGGCGACCUAGAGUGCGGUAGAGGGUAGUGGAAUUCCCGGUGUAGCAGUGAAAUGCGUAGAGAUCGGGAGGAACAUCCGUGGCGAAGGCGACUACCUGGACCAGCACUGACACUGAGGCACGAAAGCGUGGGGAGCAAACAGG